rnacentral:rRNA from 1 species
UACGUAGGGAGCAAGCGUUGUCCGGAUUUAUUGGGCGUAAAGAGCUCGUAGGCGGUUCAGUAAGUCGGGUGUGAAAACUCUGGGCUUAACCCAGAGCCGCCACCCGAUACUGCUGUGACUAGAGUCCGGUAGGGGAGUGGGGAAUUCCUAGUGUAGCGGUGAAAUGCGCAGAUAUUAGGAGGAACACCGGUGGCGAAGGCGCCACUCUGGGCCGGAACUGACGCUGAGGAGCGAAAGCGUGGGUAGCAAACAGG